CUCAAUGUAUGGCUAUAUCUACAUGCCGAAAUUAGGGCUGCCGUUAUUCAUACGUCACUGGUUGUCAUGGUAAUGAGGACCUGACCUAUAUAAGUAGGAUUCUAUAUUCACUCUGCCCCUGAACGGACGGAAAGGAGCUGAACUAAGUGAAACUCUUCAACCUUGAACAAGAGCUGACUUGUUGAGAAGUGAACAACUUGAUUUCAAAAAACAUCUGUGGUAAACUGCUCACAUCUUUAAGGGCGAAAGCAGCUUUAUUGCAGAAACAUCGCCCCCUCUGGUUUUCUCCGUGAGAAGCGCCUGCUGAUUCUUGGCUUCCACCACUCCGCUAUGCUACCUGGAUAUUGUUGACCAUGUUGAAAGGCCUCUGCCAGUGACAUCUGACCCUCACCUCUGAUGGCAGCACCAGCAGGUAUGAUGGGGACUGCUUCAGGCUCCGGUUCAGCUCCUGUAACUAUUCUCAUUCUUGUACUCCCUGUGAAGAUGGAGCUGGGAGCCCUGAAGACUGACUGCAGAAACUGUGUGCAAGUCCUGAAGGUUGAUGGCAGCACUGUGACCAAAGUCAUCUCCCCAGUCUACUGCUCUGAAAGCAGUGAGCUGACAAACUGCUGCAGAGUGAGUGCUACAGCCUCUCUCCCUCCCUGGAUGGCUGCAUCUCUGGCCAGAGACAGGCCCUGAGGCCUGCAGCCUCUCCCCCUCCCUGGGCGUAAGACCUGUCAUGUGUAUGAUGGCUGCGUCUCUGGCAGGAGACAGGCCAGCGCGGCCCGAAGCCUCUCCAGACACGCCGGGCCUGCUGCAAAAGAGAGCGUG